UCUAGACGAACUGCCGUUGACAAAACGGAGGAAGGUGGGGAUGACGUCAAAUCAUCAUGCCCCUUAUGUUCUGGGCUACACACGUGCUACAAUGGCCGGUACAGACGGAGGCGAAGCCGCGAGGCGGAGCAAAUCCGAAAAAGCCGGUCUCAGUUCGGAUUGCAGGCUGCAAUUCGCCUGCAUGAAGUCGGAAUCGCUAGUAAUCGCAGGUCAGCAUACUGCGGUGAAUACGUUCCCGGGCCUU
rnacentral:rRNA from 1 species